UUGCUUUGCAGGAAGGAUUGUAUCAACGAUGUCGCGUCUUGCCCUUGCCUUCGAAUCCGCGAAGUAGAUGAAACAGGAACAACUGAAGAGGGGGAAUAUUCUUUUUGUUGCAUGUCUCGGUUCUCUGUUUUUUAGU